GGAUUAGAUACCCUGGUAGUCCAUGCCGUAAACGAUGUGUGCUAGACGUUGGAAAUAUAUUUUUCAGUGUCGCAGCGAAAGCAUUAAGCACACCGCCUGGGGAGUACGACCGCAAGGUUAAAACUCAAAUGAAUUGACGGGGACCCGCACAAGCAGUGGAGCAUGUGGUUUAAUUCGAAGAUACGCGCAGAACCUUACCAACACUUGACAUGUUCGUCGCGAGACUAAGAGAUUAGUUUUUUCAGUUCGGCUGGACGAAACACAGGUGCUGCAUGGCUGUCGUCAGCUCGUGCCG
rnacentral:rRNA from 1 species